rnacentral:rRNA from 1 species
UACAGAGGGUGCAAGCGUUGUUCGGAAUUAUUGGGCGUAAAGCGCGUGUAGGCGGCAGUGCAAGUCGGGUGUGAAAGCCCUCGGCUCAACCGAGGAAGUGCGCUCGAAACUGCAUUGCUUGAGUACCGGAGAGGAUGGCGGAAUUCCCGGUGUAGAGGUGAAAUUCGUAGAUAUCGGGAGGAACACCAGUGGCGAAGGCGACCACCUGGACGGAUACUGACGCUGAGACGCGAAAGCGUGGGGAGCAAACAGG